rnacentral:rRNA from 1 species
UCGGGAAUUUUGGGCAAUGGGGGCAACCCUGAUCCAGCCAUGCCGCGUGAGUGAAGAAGGCCUUCGGGUUGUAAAGCUCUUUCGGCGGGGACGAAACGGUCCGUGACAACACCACGGACUAAUGACAGUACUCGCAGAAGAAGCACCGGCUAACUACGUGCCAGCAGCCGCGGUAAUACGUAGGGUGCAGGCGUUAAUCGGAAUUACUGGGCGUAAAGCGUGCGCAGGUGGCUCCUUAAGUCAGAUGUGAAAUCCCCGGGCUUAACCUGGGAACUGCGUUUGAAACUGAGGAGCUAGAGUGUGGAAGAGGGGGGUGGAAUUCCAGGUGUAGCAGUGAAAUGCGUAGAGAUCUGGAGGAACACCGAUGGCGAAGGCAGCCCCCUGGGCUAACACUGACACUCAUGCACGAAAGCGUGGGGAGCAAACAGGAUUAGAUACCCGCGUAGUCCCUGAGCGGGCUGGCAAGGCGCAU